UCUAAUGUGGCAGAAAGUGCAGUAAACUUAAGAUUUAUAAAAGGGUUUGAUACUUCUUUAGAA
rnacentral:tRNA from 1 species